rnacentral:snRNA from 1 species
AGAUGUGAGGGAGAUCUGGCUGCAACAUCUGUCAACUCCUUGACUGCUAGGGGUUGAUUCAGAUGAUCUGGUUCACCAGACAAGUGUCCCCUUUUUCCCUCUGUUUUUAUUCUUUGAACACUGCUUUGAGAUUAUAUUGUAAAGGGAAGCAGUAUAAAAUUACUAUUGAUAAAUAGAUAAAUAAUGAGGUCCUCAGAGCAGCUGAUCUUCAUU